rnacentral:rRNA from 1 species
AGGAUGAACGCUGGCGGCGUGCCUAACACAUGCAAGUCGAACGUCCUGUCUCGCAAGAGGCAGGGAGUGGCGGACGGGUGAGUACCACGUGGGUUAUCUACCGUGAGGUGAGGAAUACCGGCGAGAAAUCGCCGACAAGACCGCAUAGCCUCGGUGCAAGCCGAGGAAAGCUUUCUCGAGAGAGGGAGCGCCACACGAGGAGCCUGCGCCCGAUUAGCUAGCUGGUGGAGUAACGGUUCACCAGGGCGACGAUCGGUAGCUGGUCUGAGAGGACGAUCAGCCACACUGGGAUUGAGAACGGCCCAGACUCCUACGGGGGGCAGCAGUGAGGAAUUUUCGUCAAUGGGGGCAACCCUGAACGAGCAACGCCGCGUGCAGGAAGAAGGUUUUCGGAUCGUAAACUGCUUUUCUCGGGGAAGAGAACGGACGGUACCCGAGGAAUCAGCCCGGCUAACUACGCGCCAGCAGCCGCGGUAA